AGCACCUAACACUAGCAUAUACUAAGCCGUCCACUGUUAAAUGAUUUCAGAUCCAUCAUCUGUAUUUAAUCAUGAGAUUAUCUUCCAUAAAUUGGUGUAAAGUAUAUGAUAUGUAUCUGUUACUCGUAGUAGUUGAAUAAAUUUCCAAUAAGAUACUAAAUCAAUGUGGUAGGGCAAUGUGAAAAUGAUAGGAUAGGACAUAACACUUGCAUUUAAGUUUGUUGUUAAGGGAAAAUGAUUGUUAUGGACAUAACACUUGCAUUUAAGUGGUGUCUUAAUCAUUCAACAAUGGAUUAUUGAUUCUUAGGCAUAUUCCCACCAAUGGAGGAGUAAAUUUGUGGACCAAAUCAGUAUGAAUCUUUGCUUAGUUAGUUGGACCAAAAAUGUAAAGCAAGCUAAUUUGUGGACCAAACUAGUAUGAAUCUUUCUUGCAUCAUGACUAUGAAAAUUUGAUUAUUUUGAAACUGGUGUUAAUAUGCCAUAUUUAGAAGAAAAUUACAUCAUGCUAUAUCUCACCAUUAAUUACGAAUACUAACAUCUUGUCAGGAAAAUGUUUUUCAUUAAGCAGACUGGUUUUCUUGGCCUUUCGGGGAAGAGUGCAGACACAAUUGAUUUUUAUACGUCUGAGAUCAAGAGACUAUCAAAAGAAAUCUCAAAAUCAACCAGCGAAGAUGCUAGUUGAUGAUAUUGGUGAUGUAACAAUUACUAAUGAUGGUGUUGUAAUACUCAAGAUGUUAGAUGUUGAGUAUCCUGCUGCAAAGGUAGGAGAAUAAAGCAUCCAUUUGGCUGAGCUUCAUGACC